AAAAACUUAGUUAAACUAUAACAUUAACUUGUCAAGUUAAAAUUAAUAUAUUAUUAGUUUUUA
rnacentral:tRNA from 1 species